rnacentral:rRNA from 1 species
CUAGACUUGACAUCUCCUGCAUUACCCUUAAUCGGGGAAGCCCUUCGGGGCAGGAAGACAGGUGGUGCAUGGUUGUCGUCAGCUCGUGUCGUGAGAUGUUGGGUUAAGUCCCGCAACGAGCGCAACCCUUAUUUUUAGUUGCUACCAUUCAGUUGAGCACUCUAAAGAGACUGCCCGGGUUAACCGGGAGGAAGGUGGGGAUGACGUCAAAUCAUCAUGCCCCUUAUGUCUAGGGCUACACACGUGCUACAAUGGUGAGAACAAAGAGACGCGAGACCGCGAGGUGGAGCAAAUCUCACAAAACUCAUCCCAGUUCGGAUUGCAGGCUGAAACUCGCCUGCAUGAAGCCGGAGUUGCUAGUAAUCGCGAAUCAGCAUGUCGCGGUGAAUACGUUCCC